UGCGGAAGCAUCUUUAAUAUUUGCCCGCUAUAAUAUGCCCGCUUAAAUCUUAAGCUUUCAGGGAUAAAACCUUCAGGGAUA
ensembl:ncRNA ZC84.9 ncRNA